rnacentral:tRNA from 1 species
AUUAGCUCAGCUGGUUAGAGCAUGGUGCUAAUAACACCGAGGUUGUGGGUUUGAUCCCCGUAU